AAAGUGGCACUGCUCUCCUCAGGGGGAAGGGCAUCCAGCUCGGAUGUGCCAGUGCUCCGAUGGAGAAUAUACAGUUUGUAGAGAUUUAAGGCUACUAGAUAUAAAAACCCAAAUAUACAUUACAAUUAAAGUAGCAGCUUUGGUAACUCGGUGACAUUUAAAACACUUUAAUCCGGAGUGGUUUAAGCAUUGCAGAAUGCAGCUGAGGGGCAUAAGGGUUUGAGUUUUAUCCAAAGUUUGAAUGCUGGUGGAACGGGAUUUCUAAGUGAAAGCCCCGAGAAAUGAAUUACAUAAAAACAUAGCUGUGGGCAUAAACAUUGGAUUAGGAAGGUCAUUCUGCCCUCUCAAAGCUCAAAAAAAGAUUCAAUAUUCAAGCCUAAUAGAAUAUUCUACUCAAGCACGUAUGAUUCACCCAUCUUCAAAACAGAAGGUCACCAACCACCAGACCAGAUCGCCCAGAGCCACAUCAGCCUGGCCUUGAAUACCUCCAGGGAUGGAGCAUCCACAACCUCCUUGGGCAGUGCAGGAGCUACAGAGAUGAGAGAUGACAUUGGGAAAUACGUCAGAUCCUGUGAUUGGAAAUUUCAGUUUGUAUUAAGCUUCUGCUUAACUUCCUAAAAUUUGCAAUGCCUUCAGAAGGUGACAGUGGAGGAGGAAGAUGAAUCAUUUGGAUUCUACUGCUGUGGACUGACUUAUCUCUGAAACAACUGGUGAGUUCACAAAGAGAUAUAGCCUGCAGCCCCCGCUCCAGGCCUCCACCUCCUGUGAGCAUCAUCUUUGUCAGCACACAGCCCACUGAAUCCCAAGCAGAUUAUUGGUAAGAUGAUAGAAAAUGCAUUAAUCACUAAACAUUUUGCCUGUUGCAGCUCAUCAUGUUGAAAUACUUUUUUAGUCUCUUGUAGUAGCUUCUGAGCAGACUUACAUGACAAAUCACAAAAGCAGAACUGCAAAACUUAUUGUUCAACUUGUGUUCCUUGGUUGUUUCCCAUCUGCACGGCUCUGUGUAAACAGCACAUGUAGAUGAACAGAUAGCUCAGACAGGGUGAGACUGGAAGGUGGGUUGAAUACCCAAGAGAGCAAAGGGCUUCCUACACUAGAGGUGGCUGAGCCUUGGGAAGACAAAAAUCCUAAGUAUUUACUCAUUUACUGAGUCCAAGAAGACUUUCUAGUUCCUUUUAUAUCAAAACACUUAUCUUUUAUGUUUAAUUUAUUUUUAUUUUUAGCUAAAAGGCAAAAAAAAAAAAAAAAAAAAAAAAAAAAACCUUGAAAUAGAGAUAAUAUGUAAUUGGCUUUUACCCAACAGCAUUUUUUAUCAUAAAUUCAGGCUGGCUGAUUGUCCUGGAGAUUCCCUUUACAUUAAAUCGUCCAUGCCCUGUGCAAUCUUCCCCAACAUCCCAGAAAUUCCAGCAGCAAUGUCUUGAGUUGGCUCAGGAAUUAUGUACAGCCAUCCCUUCACAUUGUUAAUGCUAUGGACAAGGGGACAGUGAACAACAAUACCGAGGCUCUGACAGAAGAAAAUAUAUAUGGGUGUUUUCUCACCCAGAGCUGCUUGGCAUAGAUAAUACAUUAGAAGACCACUAGGUGGCAAUUUAGCUGCCCUGUUUUAAAUGUUUAAUAUAUUCCAUCUUUAUUUAUUGCGUUACACUCUAACUUCAUGAAUGGCAAAUAGAACAAAGUUCUGGAAGAUCUAUACUCUCUGUUCCUGCCAAAUUUAUUGAAGUCUCUAUGUUUACUGUACUGCUUCCAGAUGUUCAUUAAAUUCAGUGAGCACCUCUGAACACCUUAGUGAACAUCUCUGGCCUGGUGGAAGGACAAGGAAUUCUUCAUUGUCACAGAAAAUAAGAGUCCUUCUAACUCGUAAUACAUAUUUUGUGGUGCAGGCUAUAUAUGACUUGCAAUUCUUUAUCCUGAUAAGAGGCUGGCUCUGCCUACAGCCAUAGCUAUAUGGUCAUGAGAUAGCUAUCUGCUUACACUGAAUGUGAAUUCAUAUAGCAGCACAGCUAAGGUGGCAGGGGGGCUGCUGUGGCCUUUAUCUGUAUUUACUAGAUGAGCCUAUGGUGAUAACACACACCUCCCAUCUUCUUCUACUAACUGAAGAUCAGAAAUACAGUAUGAAUCUUUUUCCUAGAAAUUCGAAACAAUGCACCUUGCAAAUGAACAACUAUUUUACAGUUGUCUGAGAGAAUCAUACUGCCACAGAAAGGCCUCCACAUUUGGAAGAUUUAUGACUGGCAUGUAAAAAGAGAGAGAGAGAGAGGAAGUGAGCCAUUCAAGUACAUGUGUAUGCAAAAGUACAGCUUUCUACAUUAAAAAUGCUAUAUAAUUUAUAUAUAAAAAAAGCUCAGUCUAUAUAACAAAGCAUGGGCAGACUGCAUAGAAGAAUUAUGUUUUGGUUGCAUAAUGCUUCACAUUUGGGUUAAUGCUCAUCCUUAGUUCCUCACUUCAGUGUAUAAGAUUUUUUAAAUGACUGAACCUAGAACUUCUGUGAAAAGUAUUUUUAGUAGCGCCCACGAUUUAUGAUUCAAUAAGGAGAAAUACAAAAUAUUCUUUUUAGUGAUCUCAAGUGACACACGCUAAAAGCAACGAGCUUUUGAUGUGCUAACAUUUGUUCCCAUUAAAAAAAAAAAAAGAAAAAGAAAAAAAAAGAGCAGUAGCAUAUUGUAAAAUUUCAGCCUUCAGAUGCUAAAAAUAAGAGAAUGGAAGAAAAGAAUUGCUUGAAGUCAGAAAUCAACAACACAAUAUGUAGUGCUUCUGUAGCUUCAAAGCAGGCUGACUCAGAAGCUACUGUUUUGGUAGAAAAGGUCAAGAAGAAAAUGGUUGAUGAUUCUCAGUGAUCUUUAUAUUAAGUGACUCUUUGGUCUCCAGUUAAAUUGCUGCUACUUGAUGCAAAAAGUUCAACCAGUCUAUGAAUAGAAAGCAAAUACUGCAAAUGCACACAGCCUACAAUUGCAGAGAGUAAGGAGGGGAAGAGAUAAGAAAUAAAAUGUAUGGAAAGUAAUGAAGGCUUUUGUGGAGACUGCCUCAACCCAGAAGAAAACCAGAGCACAAUAACAGAGUAAGAGAAACCAAAUUAAUCAAUAACUUGCAGUAUGAAUAAUAGAGAUUGAUACUACCACAACAUUUUUUUUCUUCUGGGUUCUCUUUCAAUUGUGUUUUUCAUUUUUGAAGGAAACCUGAUGGGGAUUCUCACUUAGGGUAAGAAUAAAGUGGGUACAGGGCAAAGAGGGAAAGGUAGCUGCUUCCAAACGAGCCUGUAAUAAAGGAAAAUUUAUUUGUUCUUUCAUCUGUAGUUUGAGAAUUGCACUUCUUUUUGUUCAUACUAAUGAAUAUGAAUAUAAAGGAAUCAGUGGGGAAAAAUAAGAUUUAUUAGUGUUAAGAGGGUUAGAAUAGAUGUGAAACUGUGAGAAUUUAAGAUUGCCAAGUCCCAUUUUUGAACAACUCAAGAUCCUCCCACUGUAAGUGAAGAUCAGGUUCGUGACCACCUGAGGAACCUGAACAUUCACAAGUCUACAGGUCCUGAAGAGAUACAUCCCAGUCCUGAAGGAACUGGCUGAUGUACUUGCCAAGCCACUAUCAAUGAUAUUCAAAAAGUCAUGGCAGUCAGGUGAAAUCCGUGGUGACUGGAAAAAAGGCAACAUCACACCCAUUUUUAAGAAGGGUAAAAAAGGAUGUCCCUGGGAACUACUGACCUGUAAGUCUCACCUCUGUGCUGGGGAAGACGAUGGACCAGAUCUUCCUGGAAGUUAUGCUAAGGCAUAUGGAAGACAAGGAGGUGAUACAGGAGAACCAGCAUGGCUUCACCAAGGGAAAAUCCUGCUUGACCAACUUAGUGGCUUUCUAUGAUGGUGUAACUACAUCAGGGGACAAGGGAAGAGCCACUGAUGUCAUCUAUCUGGACUUCAGUAAGGCCUUUGGCAUGGUACACCACAAAAUCCUUCUUUCUAAAUUAGAUAGAUAUGGAUUUGAUGGGUGAUGGAUGAAGAACUGAUUGCAGGAUCGAAUCCAGAGAGUGGUGGUCAAUGGCUCCAUGUCUAGAUGGAGAUCAGUGACAAAUGGUGUUCCCCAGGCAUCACUGCUGGGACCAAUGUUCUUUAAUAUCUUCAUCAGUGAUACCAACACCGGGGUUGAAUAUACACUUAGUAAGUUUGCUGACGACAUUGAGCUGUGGCGUGCGGUCCACAUGCCUGACGGAUGAGGUGCCAUCCGGACAGUCCUAGACAGGCUCAAGCAGUGGGCCCAGGAGAACAUCAUGAGGUUCAACAAAGCAAAGUGCAAGGUCUUGCACCGGAGUCAUGACAACCCCCACUACCAGUACAGGAGAGAAAUAGAGCUGUUGGAGCGUGUCCAGAGGAGGACCUCACAAAUGAUCCAAGGAAUGGAACACCUCUCCUAUGAGGACAACAAUCUAAAAGAGCUGGGGCUGUACAACCUGGAGAAUAGAAGGCUCCAAGAUGACCUGAUAAUGGCCUCUAAAGGGGGGCUAUAAGAAGGAAGGGAACAGACUCUUUAAUGGGGUCCGUUGUGAUAAGAGAAGGCAACAAUGGUUCAAACUGAAAGAGGGGAAAUUUAGGCUGGAUAUGAGGAAGAAUUUUUUCAAAUUAUGGCUGGUGAGGCACUGGAACAGGUUGCCCAGAGAUGUGGUGGAAGCCCUGUCCCUGGAGACAGUCAAGGUGAGGGUGGAUGAGGCCCUGAGCAACCUGAUCUAGCUGUGGAUGUCCCUGUUCAUUGCAGGGCAGUGGGACUAGAUGACCUUUAAUGGUCUCUUCCAACUCUAAGGAUUCUACGAUUCUAUAUUCUAGAUUUUGUUCUUUGUGUUUUGCAGCUUAGAGAUGCCCUAUGAUUUGGUAUUCUUAAAAGUCCUUCCCUGGCCCUGUGCUUUUUACAGCUAAGGAGAAAUGAACAGGUACAGGGUACCUGAACUGAAGCAGUGAAGCUCUCUAACAAAGAAAGAGCUUCCUUGGGAGACACUGCUUCUUCAAGUUAAGCGGUUGCAAAUUGCUCAUAUUGACAUAAAAAGCAAUUUCAGUUGUUUAUUUUCCACUUGCAAGUUGAGAAUCUUCACAUUCAGCUAGUAACCAGUAGAAGUAGGAAUCUAUUUUCCACCAAAAAAAUGUCUUAAAGAAAAGCCUUUAUCCUAGAGGUUUUUGCAAAAUUAACAUUGUUUACUUUCAGGAAACAGUAUUUUAUCUGAUUGUUGGUUUUCUUUUUAAUCAAAUUAAAAAAAAAAAAAUCACAUCAGAUGUUUUCUUUAACAGAAGUUUGAACAGUUUCAUAACAUUUUCAUUUUUACAAAGUAAUCAUUUUCCAAAUAGUCUUUUUUCCCCUUAAGCCAAGUCAAGUUGUUACAUAUGGGUAUUUCAACAUAUAUGGCUUUACAAUUCCUAUUUUUAACUAAUCUUUAGAGCAAUGCUGUGUUAUUUGCUCUUUGUUAUUUGUUCUAUUAUUUGAUGCUGUAUUAUUUCUUUUCUUUAAGUCAAAAAGAAUUACCCAACCAAUAAUCUCUUCCACUCCCUAUCUGAAACUCUCAACAAAAAUCUCUCAAUUGCACAAAAAUCUAAUAAUGUACUUAAGACCUAAACUAUGAAAAGAAAUUAAAGGCUAUAGAGUAACUGAUAUUUUUAUCUUUUUUUUUCCCCCAAAAAUUAUACCAGUUGUCUUCCUACUUUAUAGCUGUCUUUUAUCUUCCAGCAGUGGCACCCACCAUCUGACUUAUGAUCUCUCUGCGGGAAGUCAUUGAGUGGCACAAUAGAGUUAAUGAAUUGGUCUUUCACCUCCAAAAACCUGAUCUAAAUGCUAGUCUGAGAUAAUGAGCAUGAUGGAGUUCAGUAAUGUCAGCAGAGUAUUAACUUCUGUUUAAAGGAAGAACGAGCACUGGCAGGAAAAUGGAUUUUAAGAGAUAUUUGGAGCAAUUGCACCUGCAUGCAUUAUGGCAACUCUAGCCUUCCUUCAUUAGAGUCAUAUUCACAUUAUCUCUUUGCUAUUUGAAUAGAAUUUGGCAGGGGUUUAUCUGCAGAGCAUAUCAUUUAGCAGGGAUCUUUCUAGAUAUUUAAGUUCCCUACCACUGUAAUAUCUAAACAGCACAUUUAUACUACCUAGCAGUUCAAUCCAGGAUAUCUCUAUCAGAAUCAGAAAGGAACACUUAACAAUCAACAGUAAUAUUUCUUAUCACAUCCAUACGUAAUGGUAAUAUGUUCUGGAAAAGAUACUGUCACUGAUUUAACUAGAGAAGCUUGCAGAACUGACAGAAUGUUUCUCUUCUCAGUGCAAAAAAGCCAAAUACAGUGUAUUUUACUAAGAAUCUCUGCCCUUGCUGAAGGUGGAUUGCAGGGAUGCAGCAGAUGCCUUUAGCAGCUACAAGGGUCUCAUGCUUUUUUGGAAAGACAAGUAAGAGGUCAUCAAUACCUUUCCCACCACUUCAUUAAUGCAAAGGGUUUGUGUAUCAGUAUGUCCAUAUGUCCUAGCUGAAGCAACUGCAAAGCACAUGAUCUUGGACAGCUUCUCCUAUCCAAGUAGAAUAAAUUUUGAUCAGGGUCAAAUAAAAAUACUUCAUGAAUUUCCAAGUUCCAUAACUAAUUAAAUAAAUAAAAUUCUUCAUCACCUAAUAAAACCAAGAAUAUGCAAUCCAAGAAUGAUACUCGCUCCUAGAAUCACAAACACUACAGACUGUCAAACCAUCUGGACAAAUUAAAAAAAUAUAUACAAGUUUAUUGGCAUAUUUGUAUCAUCUUUCCAGUUUCUCCUCUUCAUUUUUUAGAGCAGAUCACUCCUGCGCUCUCAUGGGUCACUUUUUUUCAGUCAAAAACAGAAAACACCUAUCAUUCUUUUCACAAAUUCAUGUCAGGAUGAUAACCAUUCUUGUCUACUGAUAUAGAUAUUCAUCUUAAGGCUACUUCAAAUAAUACAGUGUCUGACAUUAAAAGAUCCCACUUACAAACCUCCACACACUUGCCAAAACAAAGAUGGACUAGUUGUCACUGAGUAUAGUAUUUCUCUGAAAAGCAUCACAGUGAUAGAUUGCAGUGUAUGUCAGUUUUUCUCAAUCUGUACUUCUGACUUUACCUCUAGAAACAUCUUAGGAAAGAGCAAAUGGCUUGAAACGAGCAAUGGGGAGGGCUGCUUAUCUCUAGCUGGAGCUACAUCAAGAAGUCAAACAAAAUAUGAAAAAACUAAACUAUAAGCCCCAGAACUCAUCACCACCACCAAAAAUAGGCCCCAGACAAGAAAAUACCUAAAGAAACAGCAACAUAAAUCCCUUCCCUACUUCUUCCCCACUGAAUUUCUUUCCCUGUGUCCUUCAUAUGUCUUCAGGGAUGGUAACCUUCUGAAUGCUCCACAAAGCUGUACAACAGACCCAGGUUGUCAGAACUGUUAGGGUGGCUGUCCUGUUGCCCUUGAUCUGAUUUCUUUCCCUUACACAAAAGUCAAGUUUUCAUCUUAAAAAAAAAAAAAAAAGAAAAUCAGGUAUUUACAAAGAAACCACUAAAACUUCUCAAGGCAAUGAAACCUUGCAUAAACUAAGGGAAACAGGAUUUUAGAAUACUGAAAUAGUUUGUAUCAUCCUAUGCACACACAAAAAAAACCACUGUCUUCACAUCUUAGCCAAAGAAGCUUUAUUUUUUUUUCUGAGGUGACAGUAUCUGAGCAACUCCUUACCUGGACAGUCACUGACACUUUACAGUCUACAGACUAAUAUUGUUAAUACAUUUUGUGUCUCUCAAACUUUAGUCUUCUAAUUCUAGUAAAAUAUAUAUAUUAAAAAGAGCAUGCAGACUGCCAACAGUUUAUAGGUUGGUCUUCUGUCAACUUCAACUUUUUUUGCUUUCCUUAUGCCUUUCCUGCUUAGGACUGUCCUAUAGCAUUUAGUGCUGCCUCUUAGGGCCUACCUGUACCAGGAAUAGAGUCAUUAAGACUGGAAAAGACCACUGAAGUCAUCUAGUCCAGCCAUCAGCGCAUCACCACCAUGCCCACUAACUGUGUUCCUCGGUGCCACAUUUUCAUGGCUCUUUAUGGUGACUAUCACUCCCCUGAGCAGCCUGUUCCAAUGCUUCACCACUCUUUCUGAGAAGAAAUUUUUCCUAAUAUCCAACCUGAAUCUCCACUGGAACAACUUAAAGCCAUUACCUCUUGUCCUAAAAGGAAUGAUCAGUCUAAGCCCACUUCUAUACUGAGGCAGGUACAUGGCUUUCAGUCCUGGAUAGCUUUGCUAUAGUCAAGGCAUAGAUGGAAAAAAUGUCAAGUCCCACAAUUUACUCCCAAGAUUUUAAUGCACCUGACACAGGUUAAAUUAACCAGUUCAAACACAACUUUUAUACGGAUGAGAUCUCUCUCCAUGGAAGACUGUUGUUAGUUAUUAAGACCAUGUCCUAAUUCUUAGUAAAGCUGACGUGGUUUCGGACAGGUUUGAAAAUUUUAUUCAUUUGCUUGCUUUGGGUUGAAGUUAUGAGCUGCAGCACUCAGUUUUGGCAUCUUGCAUCUCUGGUGUAAUCCAGGACCUGCUCACAGACUUCAUGAAUGGAGAAUCAAAAUACUGAGCAGGCAUCACCAAAAUGCUGAAUGUGGCACACACCUUGUUGUCUUCUGCCCCAGUGUGUCUUGCAUAGGGCCUUCUGAGACCCACGUGCAUAUGAGUGGACAGCUUAAAGACCUGCAAGGCCCGGAAUACACACAGCCCAGGAAUCAUCGCUUUAGAGCACAUAAGUUUGGUGCUUGGGUAGGAGUUAACUUUUGCUUUUGCUUUUACAGCCUGCCUCACAGUACUUAUAAGUCUGUUUGUCCUCUACUGCAGCUGAAAAGGAAGCUCUGAGGUGUGCUAGUGUGUACUGUGAUGGUACAGCUGGUCAGCUACGUUAAGCAUUAGUGUAUUUCUAUACUUCAGAAGAGAGAGGAAGUCUCUUGGCUUGCCUACAGCACACCAAGUUCUUCUCUUCUUCCUGGAGAUAACAUCUUUGUCAGAAACCUCAGGGCAUGCCCUGCUCUGAGAGAGGAUACCUAAGUGAAAGAAAGGGCAGACAAAAGGGAAGACUGAGUAUCUGCAGCCAACACAGGAAAUAUGGGUGGGGAACAGAUAUUGGUGUCUGAGCAGAGCGGUUCAGAAACACAGCUGAAACUGAAGAUGAGGGGAAAAAGUCACCCAUUGCAAAGGUCUGAGAGAGGUCUGAUAUAAAAGUAUGUUCUUCUUGUUUUUGUUCUGAGAAAAAUACUGGCUUAC
rnacentral:lncRNA from 1 species